UAGUGAGUUUGAUCCUGGCUCAGAACGAACGCUGGCGGCAUGCUUAACACAUGCAAGUCGAACGAGACCUUCGGGUCUAGUGGCGCACGGGUGCGUAACGCGUGGGAAUCUACCCUUUGCUACGGAAUAACUCAGAGAAAUUUGUGCUAAUACCGUAUAAUGUCGCAAGACCAAAGAUUUAUCGGCAAAGGACGAGCCCGCGUAGGAUUAGCUAGUUGGUGGGGUAAAACGCUCACCAAGGCGACGAUCCAUAGCUGGUUU
rnacentral:rRNA from 1 species